rnacentral:rRNA from 1 species
CCUCAGUAACGGCGAGUGAAGCGGCAACAGCUCAAAUUUGAAAUCUGGCCUCUUGGGGUCCGAGUUGUAAUUUGUAGAGGAUGUUUCGGGUACCGCCCCGGUCUAAAUUUCUUGGAACAGAAUGUCAGAGAGGGUGAGAAUCCCGUCUUGGACCGGUGGUAGGGCCUAUGUGAAACUCCUUCGACGAGUCGAGUUGUUUGGGAAUGCAGCUCAAAAUGGGUGGUAAAUUUCAUCUAAAGCUAAAUAUUGGCCAGAGACCGAUAGCGCACAAGUAGAGUGAUCGAAAGAUGAAAAGCACUUUGAAAAGAGAGUUAAACAGUAUGUGAAAUUGUUGAAAGGGAAGCGCUGGCAAUCAGACUUGCGCGCGGCGGUUCCCCCUGCCUUUUGGCUGGGUUAUUCCGCCGUGUCCAGGCCAACAUCGGUUCUGGGGGCCGGUUAAAGGCCUUGGGAAUGUACCUACCCUUCGGGCGUAGACUUAUAGCCCAAGGUGUCAUGCGGCCUCCCGGGACCGAGGAACGCGCUUCGGCUCGGAUGUUGGCGUAAUGGUUGUCAGCGAC